rnacentral:rRNA from 1 species
UACGUAGGGCGCAAGCGUUGUCCGGAAUUAUUGGGCGUAAAGAGCUCGUAGGCGGUCUGUUACGUCCGCUGUGAAAACCCAGGGCUUAACCCUGGGCUUGCAGUGGAUACGGGCAGACUAGAGGCAGGUAGGGGAGAAUGGAAUUCCCGGUGUAGCGGUGAAAUGCGCAGAUAUCGGGAGGAACACCUAUGGCGAAGGCAGCUCUCUGGGACGGUACUGACGCUGAGACGCGAAAGCGUGGGGAGCAAACAGG